UUAGUAAAAGCAAAUCGAUUAAAGUGAUUGCUGGUAAAGUUCAUGCUUUUUAUGCCCCCCUUCGAAGAAGAGGGGGUAUAUUGUUUUGCACAUGUCGGUCCGUCGGUCUGUCAUUCCGUCGGUCCGUCCACCAGAUGGUUUCCGGAUGAUAACUCAAGAACGCUUAGGCCUAGGAUCAUGAAACUUCAUAGGUACAUUGAUCAUGACUGGCAGAUGACCCCUAUUGAUUUUCAGGUCACUAGGUCAAAGGUCAAGGUCACAGUGACUCGAAAUAGUAAAAUGGUUUCCGGAUGAUAAC